rfam:Moniliophthora roreri MCA 2997 sctg_0452_0002, whole genome shotgun sequence.
UCCCCCUUAGCUCAGCGGUAGAGCGCUUCACUAGUAUUCAACGUGUGAUGCUAUGAAGAGGUCAGUCGUUCAAGUCGGCUAGGGGGAA